GACGAACGCUGGCGGCGUGCCUAAUACAUGCAGGUAGAACGCUGAAGAGAGGAGCUUGCUCUUCUUGGAUGAGUUGCGAACGGGUGAGUAACGCGUAGGUAACCUGCCUUGUAGCGGGGGAUAACUAUUGGAAACGAUAGCUAAUACCGCAUAACAAUAGGUGACACAUGUCAUUUAUUUGAAAGGGGCAAUUGCUCCACUACAAGAUGGACCUGCGUUGUAUUAGCUAGUAGGUGAGGUAACGGCUCACCUAGGCGACGAUACAUAGCCGACCUGAGAGGGUGGUCGGCCACACUGGGACUGAGACACGGCCCAGACUCCUACGGGAGGCAGCAGUAGGGAAUCUUCGGCAAUGGGGGCAACCCUGACCGAGCAACGCCGCGUGAGUGAAGAAGGUUUUCGGAUCGUAAAGCUCUGUUGUAAGUCAAGAACGAGUGUGAGAGUGGAAAGUUCACACUGUGACGGUAGCUUACCAGAAAGGGACGGCUAACUACGUG
rnacentral:rRNA from 1 species